AUUUCACAGAGGCGGAGUUGGAGGUUUUAAUGCACGCUUAUGAAGAGUUUAAGCCAAUAAUAUUAAAAAGAAGCAAUACAGCAUCAUCGGCUAAAGCAAGAGAGUUGGCUUGGCAAAAAAUAACGGACAGAGUAAAUACGUGUAAUCCUUCUGGAGCCAGAAGAUCUUUAAGCCAAAUCAAAAUAAAACACAAAAACAUUCUGCAAAAAGCUAAUAGAAAGAAGACCGAAGCCCGUCUAACUGGCGGGGGCCCACCACCACCUCCCCUCACCCCAUCUGAUCAGUGGUUGCUGGCAUUCCAGGGGGCAGUUCCUGGCACACACCAUGCACCACAAGUGAGGGUGAAAAAAUGGUGAAAUGUAAGUUUACCUCUAUGAUUUGUUUUCAUUUUUUGUCCUAAUAAAUUAUUAUUAAUUAUUAUUGUACUUAAAGGCUUUUUGAACAAGAUUAAUUUUUAUGUAGGCUUAUUUUAUUUAACUGCAUAUGAUGUAUAGGCUACUGUGAUCUUAGUCUGGCAUGUUACUCUUUUCAUGUAUGACUCGUGAAAUCGGCGAUCCAUUGAAAAUGUCUUUAUUCAUGCACCGUGCACGCGCAUAAACUCUGGGUAACCAGUUGGAGGUUGAUUAAACUAACUCUUCUCAGGUGUUUUGGAACCGACACACUCAUGGUAUGCCUGUUUGGGGUAAAUCAACCCAGAGGUUAUGAUUUAUCAAAUGCACAUGGAGGACCACAUGGGGAAGUUGUGGCCUAAUGGUUAGAGAGUCUGACUCCUAAGGAUGUGGGUUCGAGUCUCGGGCCGGCCACGACUGAGGUACACUUGAGCAAGGCACCCCCACCACGCUUUCGUUCCUCUCUACAGCACCGAUGUUCUCAAUCUCUUCUAUGCCCACUUUCUCCUUUACUCCCUCCUCCUCAAAGAUGCUCUGCACUGCUUUCAUUUCCUCAAUUGAACCCUGCUCCCCGGGCGCCGCAGCAUAAAUGGCUGCCCACUGCUCCAGAGCAUCUGGAGUAAAACUGUGCCAAAAUCAAAUAUGCAAAUUGGAGGAUCUGCUGUGGUGACCCCAAACAGGGAGCAGCCAAAGGACAACACUCACAUGCUGUUGCCAGGUUCCACACUUCCAGUGAUUAAGACUCUAUCAGCUAUAGACAAACAUAUUAAAGGCAGUGUUUAGUGACUGCAAGACCUAUAGUUUAUCUUCACCAGUUUAUCUUUUUCUUGGUAAGAAAUCUGGUUUUGGGUGACAUGGGAAAAAACAUGUAAAUAUCAUACUCCUAAUUUGUAUUGUGAUUUUAUUUAUUUUUUUUGCUUUAUGCCGAUAUUGCCGUUCUGGUUUGUAUUUUUAAUGCAAGAAAGAAAGAUGUGAAUUCAAUAAAAAAAAAAUGGUUAAAAAAAUCUGUCUUGAAUCAGUCUUGUAAUCACUGAUUCAAGUUUAUCAUAAAUGUCUUAAAAGCAGUUAGACUCGUAAGGUCAGGCUGUAUGUGUCAACUGGAUUUUAAAGCUAUUGGGGAAAAAAGUACACCCUUCUUCAGUACUUUUUUAAUUAUUAUUUAUUAGAGCCUAUAUAACAAUUGUAUGGGCCUCACUAACUUCUAAAAACAAAUAAACAUCCCAAAAAAACAAACAAAAUAAAAAUUCACAAAAACAUUAAACCAGCAUUUAGGCCAAUACUUUGGAAACCCAUUAAGACUAUUCAUUUAAAUAUGGCUUUUUUCUGACAGUGCCUCCAAGUAACAUUUCAAAAUAUCA